rnacentral:rRNA from 1 species
AUGGCCGAGGCCGGGGAGCUGGUGGUGAGCGGCGCCCAGCAGGACGACAUGCUGCGGGUGGUGGCCGCCCUGGCCGGCAUCCUGGAGCGCGUCACCGAGCGCAACGACGCGGUGGCCACGCCCGCGGAGGCGGCGCCGGCGUCGGCGUUCCGGGCGACGACCAAGCCGGGCAUCUCGGUGCGCGCGUACGUGGCGCGCAUCGCGCGGUUCGCCGGGUGCAGCCCCGCGUGCUACGUCGUCGCCUACAUCUACCUCGACCGGCUGCUGCACCGCGCCCGCCGCUUCGCCCUCGCCGUGGACUCCUACAGCGUGCACCGUCUCCUCAUCACGACCGUGCUCGCCGCCGUCAAGUUCAUGGAUGACGUAUGCUACAACAACGCCUACUUCGCCAAGGUCGGGGGCAUCAGCCUGGUCGAGAUGAACUACCUGGAGGUUGACUUCCUGUUCGGCGUCGGGUUCGACCUCAACGUCACGCCGGAGACGUUCGGCCACUACUGCGCCGUGCUCCAGUCCGAGAUGCUCUGCGCGGAGGCUCCUUCUGCGCCGCCGAGGCUGCAGUACUGCUGUCUCACUGAAUCCGAGGACGAUGCCGCCAGCUGCGGCAGCCAGCAGCAGCUGGCGGCAUGA